rnacentral:piRNA from 1 species
UGUGCUGCCUGGAGGAGAAGCCUGGA